rnacentral:rRNA from 1 species
CCUACGGGUGGCAGCAGUGAGGAAUAUUGGUCAAUGGGCGUUAGCCUGAACCAGCCAAGUCGCGUGAGGGAUGAAUGCCCUAUGGGUUGUAAACCUCUUUUAUAAGGGAAUAAAGUGUAGGACGUAUACUGCUUUGCAUGUACCUUAUGAAUAAGGAUCGGCUAACUCCGUGCCAGCAGCCGCGGUAAUACGGAGGAUCCGAGCGUUAUCCGGAUUUAUUGGGUUUAAAGGGUGCGUAGGCGGGCUUUUAAGUCAGCGGUGAAAGUCUGUGGCUCAACCAUAGAAUUGCAGUUGAUACUGGGAGCCUUGAGUACGUGAGAGGUAGGCGGAAUGCGUGGUGUAGCGGUGAAAUGCUUAGAUAUCACGAAGAACUCCGAUUGCGAAGGCAGCCUGC